GCGAAGAUGGUGGAAUUGGCAGACACGUACGUUUGAGGGGCGUAUUCGCAAGAGUGAGGGUUCGAGUCCCUUUCUUCGCACCA
rnacentral:tRNA from 1 species